GACAGAGGCCCCAAGCGUUAGGCGGAAUCACUGGGCUUAAAGCGUGUGUAGGCGGAUCGUUAAGUGUCUUGUGAAAUCCCACGGCUCACCCGUGGAACUGCUGGGCAUACUGGCGAUCUUGGGCCAACUAGGGGCAGCCGGAACAAGCGGUGGAGCGGUGAAAUGCGUAGAUAUCGCUUGGAACGCCAAAGGUGAAAACAGGCUGCUGGGGUUGUGCCGACGCUGAGACACGAAAGCCAGGGGAGCAAACGGG
rnacentral:rRNA from 1 species